AGCUAAACGCACUAUUUUAUAGUGUAGUAUCGACCCUGUCGAAUAAAAUUCUAGGUAGAGUUAUGAUAAUGACAUUAUCUAUCUAUGUGUCUUGACCAAAUUACGUGCCAGCAGUCGCGGUAAUACGUAAAAGACUAGUGUUAUUCAUGAUUAAUAGGUUUAAAGAGUACCUAGACGGUUAAUGAAGCCCCUAAAGGGUACAUAUUAACUAGAGUUAUAUGAAAGGGAGCUUUGAGGUACUGUUGAGUGUAGAGAUGAAAUUCGUUAAUACCAGAUAAGUGGCACGGAUCUAUGCGAAGGCAUCUCCUUAUGUAAUAACUGACGUUGAAGGACGAAGGCUUUUGAAGUGAAGAGGAUUAGAUACCCUAGUAAUCCAAGCAGAAAAUGAUGAAUGUCAUAGGUUGAAUAAUAUAUUUGGUCUAUAAAUGAAAGUGUAAGCAUUCCACCUCAAGAGUAAUUUGGCAACAUUGAAACUGAAAUCAUUAGACCGUAUCUGAAACCAGUAGUGAAGUAUGUUGUUUAAUUAGACGGUCCGCAAAAAACCUUACCACAAUUUGAAUAUAUAUUUUAAUUAAUAUUUACAAGCGUUGCACGGCUGUCUUCAGUUAAUGUCGUGAGAUUUUGGUUAGUUCCAUU
rnacentral:rRNA from 1 species